rnacentral:lncRNA from 1 species
AGAAAGCUUGAAAAUGGGAGGAACACAUUUUCCCAUCUCUUGAGGGAAAUCUGAGAGUCACUCUCAGGCCUUUCCAGGUUCACAGUGCUCUCUCUGCAAGGCUGUUCAUUUGCCAGAUUUCCCAGAGGUUACUUAGAAACCAGCAUCUUGUGAGUAUAGUUAGAAUGAGUCAAGUCCUAGGGCUCUGGCGAUCAGCUAGAAGGAAUUGAUGAGGUCUAAGAGCCUAUAAAGCUGACUCGGGCCUUAUUGAACCCAUUAGGACACUUGUUUAACAAGACAUCUGCCCACGUCCCUGGCCCAUCUCAUUGGCUGCAGCACAUCACAGUGGACCUUCUGCCUCCUCCCAGAUGCCCAGGGACAGUGAUCUGGAAGGAAGGGGCUUGAGGCUGUUUUCCUAGAACUCGACUUGAAUGCACCAAGGAAAGGCCAUUUGUGGGGACAUAGCGAGAAGGCAG